UCUCCGGAGUUGUCUAGUGUUAUUUCAUGUUUAAAGGAGUAGACGUUUCUGCAGUAUAUUUUAUGUUUAUUGUAUUUUAGUGUGGAUGUCCAUUUUCUUAUUUCAUUCCGGGGUGUGACUCGGGAAGAAAGAGUAGUUUCUUUAUACUUGAUUUCAAAAUAUAUUGAAAUGGAUAUUUGUUCUCGGUGAAUUGAUUACAAGAAGAGAUUGUUUCAUUUCUAACAAGAUUUAAGAGUAAGGAAGAGAAAACUGUGAACUUCUCAGCUCGGAGCGUAAUUUAGUUUCACUUUAGAAGCUGUGCUCUCAUUUUGGUUCCUUUCCGUGACGGGCUGGUAGUUUUACUUUCAUUUUGAAGAAAAAUACAACUGAAAGAAGUUAUAUGUUAUAGAUUGUCAAAGCCGAAAAGGGCGUACGGAAGAGAAAUACACCCAGUCCGAGAGAGAUAAUAGACGAAAAGUGUAGAAGUAGAGAGAUUCAAACGAUUACUGAUAUUUAAUAAUUUCGAUUGCAGUAGUGGAACAGGGUUUAAUAGAACUCAGCCGACUUUGUCUGAAACUAAGCCGUGGUUAUCAUAAAAGCAUAUGGUGCCUGUGAAUUGAUUGAGACGCGUAUUGGAUGGAUUGUUUCGAGCCGUAAUAAGAAUAUUGUAACUUUCAGGAAAACUUUAGAAAAUUAGUGAGAUCAGCAAGAGAUUUGAGAAGUGCUGGUUGUUUUAUGGAAAUUGACAUUUGAACGUGUGAUAAGAAAUAGAUGUUAUUGAUGUGAACUUUAAUUUCAAUUUUGACAAGUAUUGAAGGCCCUUACAUUUUUUUUUUAUUUUGGCAAAGCUUAUUUGUAGUUUCUAAUUUUAACAAGUAUUACACAAUAUUGAAUUUUUAUUGUUGAUAAAUUUUGUUUUUUACUUUAACCAGCAUUGCAUAUUCUUACAUUUUAAUUUUGAUAAAUUUUAUUUUUAACUUUAACCAGUAUGACAUAUUGUUACAUUUUUUAAUACGUCCUAAAUAUCAUUUCAUUUUUGAGAUUUUAAAUUUCUAAUUUGACAAGUUUUAUAGAAUGAAUGUAGUUUGAAUUCUGACAGGAGUUACAUAUUGCCAGAUUGAAUUUGAUUUAAGUUUUGACAACAUCUUGAAUCCUUUUUAACCGUCAUCAAGCAAGAGUUGAAUACCAUUACAUUUUCAUUUCAAGAAGAAGUAACAAUACUGAAUUUUAUUGUCUGGCAAUAGUAUUAAAGUGAACUUUAAUUUUAAUAAGAAGAGGUGAUUGUUGUUCGUUUGACUAAGAAAACACAGAAAAUAAUUUUGUGAGAAUUUUUGUGUAUUUACAGAAGGACUGACAGCAAAUAACAUUGAGAGGAAGAAUAAACGAGAUAUUCAGGGUAAGACAUAUUUUAGUGGAAGAUAACAUGAAGACUCUUAAAGAGCAAUGGGAGGCAGCCGUAGAACAGCUUUUGAGUGGGUUAGAAGAAAGAGAAAGGCUCAAAAAGACUCAGAAAUUGCAAGAAAUGUAUGAAGAAUGGAAACAACUUAAGGGUUACGAAGAUAGGACGAAGACAAGUUUGAAAGAGCAAGUAAUUGUUCAAGAAAGUGAAGCGCACAGGAAGUUUCAGAGAGAGGACAAAAAGGAAGUGGGGUUUCUAGCUAGAAAGAAGCAUGACAAGGAAGUGAAGAGACUACGUGAAGAGUUUCAUUUGUGGCAUAGUAUGGCAGUUAGUUGUGUGGCUUUGGUACAGUUGGAUAGAGAGAGACAAGAGACAGAAAAGAAAGUAGAAAUAAAAAAGAGUGACCUUAAAGAGAAGGAAGCAAACAAAAUUCAAGAGGGGAGGGAAAUAGCAUCCAUAUAUCCAGCACUGCCACCCACUGCUCCACCUCCAUAUGCCCCGCCCCAUACACAGUUGCCAGUAUUUGAAGUACAAAAGGGUGUGUUGGACAUGGAGCAGCGGGAGGGAAAUCGCUGGAAAAUAAAAUCAGGGAAAUUAAAUUUAAUAACAGAAAACGAGACAGAGGAGAGAGAAAUAGCACGAGAAACAGCUGAAUUGAUGAGAACACAUAGAGAGCAAGCGGCACAGGCAGAACAGAAGAUGGCAGCUCUGGAGAAAGAACUGAGGGAACAAUGGAAUAGCGUAGUACAGGAAAGGACAUUUCAACCCGGAGCACAAAGCACCCCAGGAGAAACAUUGAGUAGCAGAUUCAUAACAGUGGACGAGACUGGGAGUCAGAUAGAGGUUGAAGAACAGGGAACAUAUCCAGUUGAAAUCAGAGGAGAAAUGAAGGUGGGUAAGAGGAUGAAAGAGGAGAGCAGAUAUAACUACAGUAUACAGACACCAAAGAAAGAACAGGAAGAAGAUGAACAGGAAUGUAGGGAACUACAUCUCAUUCGUAGGGUACCUAAUAUCUGCCCCCUAGUGGAGACAAGUGGAAAGGUAGAAUACAAACCAUGGUCAUUCACAGACAUGGGAGCUAUCCUUGCAAAGCUACCUCAUAUCACGAGUGGUGGGGGUAAAUGGAUAGGGAAGGUAAUAACUUUGACACAAGGGCAUACGUUGGCGAUCGGAGACCUUAGAGCAUUAUUGGGACAGGUACUGACCGUAGGACAGAUUACGGAAAUUGAGCGAGAGGCAGGAACGGUAGGAUUAUAUGAUGACUAUCCAUACUGUCGAGUUGCAUCAGAUUGGGGAAAGGCACUGCGAAAGCUGUACCCAGCGCCAGCAGGCACCCUUUACAAUAUAAAAUUUUCUCCAAAAGGGGAAGAAACAGCAGCAGCAUAUCUGAGUCGAUGCAAAGGAGAGUGGGAAGAGCAAACAGGGGCUCAUCCACAUUCAGAUAGAAUACAGGAACAGAUGUUCAGAGCUGCUGUAUUGGAAGGGACUCCUAAAUCUGUACAGGAUGAAAUAAAAGCCAACCCCGACUUACCAGGUGCUUUAUGUGAGGUUUGGGAACGACAUUUCCUUCAUCACAUGUCUAGGGCGAACGAAAAAGAAAAAGAAAAGGUAGGGGAAGUAGAGGAAUUGAAAAAACAGUUGCUAAAAUUACAGUUGCAGGAAGCAAGAUCUAAAUUAAAUGAAGAAAAAGGGAAAAAGAAGGAUAUACAAAUGGUAGUUCAGGAGAUGAAAGCCCCUCCAAGAUAUAACAAAGAACAGGAAGUUGACCCAUCAAAUGUUAUAUGGGAGAGAACCACCCAAAGACCAAUGUAUUACUCCAAUAGAGGUAGGGGUGGGGAUUACAAUAGGGGGAGGGGAAGAGUGCAGUAUCAGGAAGGGUGUUUCCGUUGUGGUCGUCCGGGACACUUCGUCCGUGAUUGUCGGCAACCUGAACUCGGAGCCCAACAGAGACCGUCUCGGGGCAGAGGCCAUAACCCACACAUGGCCCCUAACGUGGAAAAAGCACCACGAGCACACUCGCAGUACCCUUUGUCCACUGGAGGGGAAAGGGAGUGGUACUGAGACAGCCCACGGAACGACCUCAGCAGGGUCAGGGCGGAACCCUUGCUGACUUUGGAGACGAAACCACUGAAGUAAGGGGGUUUUCCGGGGCUAUAACUAGACUGCCAUUCUCCAAAGAACUCACAGUGCAGUGCAUGAAAAAACAAUCACUGACUCACUCUUUUCUGCUGUCAUAUUCCUCACCGACAAAUUUGUUGGGAAGAGACUUGCUAGUGAAACUUGGAGCUGAAAUCCUAUGCAGCCCGGAGGGGAUUAUAGUAACUGUGAAAAAUGGUAUCACCAUGAACUGUUCCAUCAUGUCCACAAUGAGAACACAUGGACAAUGGUUACUUUCUGCAAACACCUCUCCACAGGGAGCUGACAUUUACUGGGGGAGGGUGCUUCUGGGGGACACAGGUAACACCCUGAAAGAUCUGUACUCUCAAUGGGAACCUUGGAUAUUGUCAUUAGCGCCAUACACCCAGCUAAUAGAUCCACUGCAUGUCACUCUGUUUUAUGAUAGAACACAAGAGUACUGGUACCAAGAACAAUUUGAUAACAUUGCAGGAGAACAGUGGGAAAUUUUUGGGGCAGGAAUACUGAUAGGCAAAGAGGGAGUGGCAGGUAUUGUAGAACUUACCCCCGAACAGGAACAAUGGUAUAAAAUGAGGGAAGAGGCAUCACCCCAUAUAUCAUUGUUAGUACACCCCCAACACCAAGCUAAAGAUCUAGGACCAAUGGUAAAGAAGGGAAUACACUUAACAGAUUGGAGGGAAACCCAACUUCCUGGUGUAAAAUAUUCAUCUAGCUCAGGGUAUUAUUUGAUCACACAGGAAACAAAAGACACUAUAGUGUUGGAACACGAAUGGCUCACAAGAUGGCAUGGUAGGGAGAAAAGUGAUCAUGAAGAUGCUGAAACAAUGUUGAAAAGUUUGCCCGACCAGUUAUGGACUCAGAGUCCCACAGAUGUAGGGUUUUGUAAAAAUUACCCAGAAAUUUCGUUCGAGCUGACAUGUGAUGAUCCAAUUUGGAGGCCUCAGUAUAAGCACAAACCAAAGGCAGAGGAAGGUAUCAAAGAUACCAUUGAAGGUUUGUUAACCGCAGGGGUUUUAGAGUAUGCUGAUUCCAAUUGGAAC